rnacentral:tRNA from 1 species
GGGGAUUUAGCUCAGUGGUAGAGCGCUUGACUGGGAAGCUCAGGACCUGGGUUCAGUCCCCA